UGCAUGCGGGAAACCGUGACAGGGGGAUCCCAAGUGCUCAUGCAUUGCAUGGGCUGUUCUUUGGUCUAAGUAACCAGAGGAGUAAGGGCUGGGCAAGACCGGUGCCAGCCGCCGCGGUAAUACCGGCAGCUCAAGUGGUAGCCGCGAUUAUUGGGCCUAAAACGUUCGUAGCCGGAUAAGUAAGUCUUUGGUUAAAUCCUGCGACUUAACCGUGGGAAAUCUAGAGAUACUGCUUGUCUUGAGACCGGGAGAGGUUGGAGGUACUCCUAGGGUAGGGGUGAAAUCCUGUAAUCCUAGGGGGACCACCUGUGGCGAAGGCGUCCAACUGGAACGGGUCUGACGGUGAGGGACGAAACCUAGGGGAGCGAGCCGGAUUAGAUACCCGGGUAGUCCUAGGCGUAAAUGAUGCGAGUUAAGUGUGGGGGCAUCUACGAGAUGGCCCUGUGCUGUAGGGUAGCCGUUAAACUCGCUGCCUGGGGAGUACGGUCGCAAGGCUGAAACUUAAAGGAAUUGGCGGGGGAGCACCACAAGAGGUGGAGGCUGCGGUUCAAUUGGAUUCAACGCCGGAAAGGGC
rnacentral:rRNA from 1 species